rnacentral:rRNA from 1 species
AAGACCUUGCACUUUUGGAGCGGCCGAUGUCUGAUUAGCUAGUUGGUGGGGUAAUGGCCUACCAAAGCUUCGAUCAGUAGCUGGUCUGAGAGGACGGCCAGCCACACUGGGACUGAGACACGGCCCAGACUCCUACGGGAGGCAGCAGUGGGGAAUUUUGGACAAUGGGCGCAAGCCCGAUCCAGCCAUGCCGCGUGAGUGAAGAAGGCCUUCGGGUUGUAAAGCUCUUUCAGCCGGGAAGAAAAGGUUGCGACUAAUAAUCGCAAUCCAUGACGGUACCGAAAGAAGAAGCACCGGCUAACUACGUGCCAGCAGCCGCGGUAAUACGUAGGGUGCGAGCGUUAAUCGGAAUUACUGGGCGUAAAGGGUGCGCAGGCGGUUUUGUAAGUCAGAUGUGAAAUCCCCGGGCUUAACCUGGGAACU